rnacentral:rRNA from 1 species
GCGGUAUGCUUAACACAUGCAAGUCGAACGGUAACAGGCCUUCGGGCGCUGACGAGUGGCGGACGGGUGCGUAACGCGUAGGAAUCUGCCUGUUAGUGGGGGACAACGUGGGGAAACUCACGCUAAUACCGCAUACGCCCUACGGGGGAAAGCGGGGGCUCUUCGGACCUCGCGCUAACAGAUGAGCCUGCGUUGGAUUAGCUAGUUGGUAGGGUAAAGGCCUACCAAGGCGACGAUCCAUAGCUGGUCUGAGAGGACGAUCAGCCACACUGGGACUGAGACACGGCCCAGACUCCUACGGGAGGCAGCAGUGGGGAAUAUUGGACAAUGGGCGCAAGCCUGAUCCAGCAAUACCGCGUGUGUGAAGAAGGCCUGAGGGUUGUAAAGCACUUUUAAUCGGGAGGAACACCUAUCCGCUAAUACCGGGUAGUCUGACAUUACCGAUAGAAAAACACCGGCUAACUCCGUGCCA